rnacentral:rRNA from 1 species
CCUACGGGUGGCAGCAGUGGGGAAUAUUGCACAAUGGGGGAAACCCUGAUGCAGCGACGCCGCGUGAGUGAAGAAGUAAUUCGUUAUGUAAAGCUCUAUCAGCAGGGAAGAAAAUGACGGUACCUGUGUAAGAAUCCCCGGCUAACUACGUGCCAGCAGCCGCGGUAAUACGUAGGGGGCCAGCGUUAUCCGGAUUUACUGGGUGUAAAGGGAGCGUAGACGGUGGGCCAAGUGUGGAGUGAAAUGCCGGAGCUUAACUUCGGAACGGCUUUGGAAACUGGCGAACUAGAGUGCGGGAGGGGUAAGCGGAAUUCAUGGUGUAGCGGUGAAAUGCGUAGAGAUUAGGAGGAACACCGGUGGCGAAGGCGGCUUACUGGACCGUAACUGACGUUGAGGCUCGAAAGCGUGGGGAGCAAACAGGAUUAGAUACCCGAGUAGUC